CGAGCGGUAACAGGGGAAGCUUGCUUCUCGCUGACGAGCGGCGGACGGGUGAGUAAUGUAUGGGGAUCUGCCCGAUAGAGGGGGAUAACUACUGGAAACGGUAGCUAAUACCGCAUAAUCUCUCAGGAGCAAAGCAGGGGAACUUCGGUCCUUGCGCUAUCGGAUGAACCCAUAUGGGAUUAGCUAGUAGGUGAGGUAAUGGCUCACCUAGGCGACGAUCCCUAGCUGGUCUGAGAGGAUGAUCAGCCACACUGGGACUGAGACACGGCCCAGACUCCUACGGGAGGCAGCAGUGGGGAAUAUUGCACAAUGGGCGCAAGCCUGAUGCAGCCAUGCCGCGUGUAUGAAGAAGGCCCUAGGGUUGUAAAGUACUUUCAGUCGGG
rnacentral:rRNA from 1 species